GGCGACAUGGCCGAGUGGUCUAAGGCGCUAGAAUCAGGUUAUCUCUGCACUUUCUGUAAUCUAGUCAUUCGUGGCGUGGGUUCGAAUCCCACUGUCGUCA